GACGAACCGUGCAAACGUUGUUCGGAAUCACUGGGCUUAAAGGGCGCGUAGGCGGGCAGGCAAGUCCGGGGUGAAAUCUUUCGGCUUAACCGGAAAAGUGCCUUGGAUACUGCUUGUCUGGAGGGAGGUAGGGGCAUGUGGAACUUCUGGUGGAGCGGUGAAAUGCGUUGAUAUCAGAAGGAACGCCGGUGGCGAAAGCGACGUGCUGGACCCCUUCUGACGCUGAUGCGCGAAAGCUAGGGGAGCAAACGGG
rnacentral:rRNA from 1 species